rnacentral:pre_miRNA from 1 species
AUAACAUUUGGAUCGUCUGUCUAGCGAGAAAAUUUCCUCACUCGGUGGAAGAUCUUUCUUUUGUCGU